AAAACAGAAUACAAAACAGACCUUUUGCCUGUCUCUACACCCAGCGCCACCGCAAGCCACAGAAGCACUCGAACUCUGGGACAGACAGGGGCGCUGGUGAACCAGGACAGGGGCUGGCACAGUGUUGGGCACUCCAGUAGAUCCGGGACUUUGUGGCUUUUAUAAUGCAGUCACACGGAAGCCGAAGUAUACCUAGACACAAAGUUUCCCUCAAUGACUCUGACAGUCGAGAUACUUUUAUUUCCUAAGUUCCAGCCGGGUCUGGCACACAAGCCUGCUCUCCAGACCCACACUCUCUGCAGCGCGACUUCACGCACGCGCGCAGACUCCUCCCCCCCCCCCCCCCCCGCCAUCAGUUCUCCCAGGCUCCGCCCCUCAGGCGGAUAUUCUCCUACAACUUCUGAAAUCGCCCGGCCCCAUCCCUCCCUGCCUUCACCUCUAAUUGGACGCUGGCCUCUAUAGGCUCCGCCCCUCGGCGACGUGAGCCCGCUUCCCUCCGAGUCUAGGCGCCGAGGGGGCGGGGCGGGGCGGGGCGUCUGCGCCCUAUUGUCAUGGAGACGGGAAGCCGGCGGCGGCGGUGGCGGGCAUAGCCCAGCAGAGGUGGCAGCGAACCGGCCGCGACUGAGGCGAGGCCGAGCAGCCCCGAGCGCGCGGAGCCGACCGCUGGCGGCCUCUCAGGCAGCCAAGGGAGCAGUGUUCUCCGGGGCUCGGGCUGGGCCGGGGUGAUCGCGGGGAGUGCCCAGGAGCGUCCCCGCCCUGCUCGCGUCGCUCGCGCUCUUGCGGCCCUUCAGCUCCCCAGCGCCCGCCCCCGGCUCCGCCCGCCGCCGCCGCCGCCGCCGCCGCCGCAGCCCCUCGCGCUAACGGUCGGUAGCGGCCCGCGCGCGCCGCCAGCCGGGGGCUCGCGCCAGCCACGAGGGAGCGUCCGCGGCUCACGCUCCCGCGCUGCGGAGGAGAGGUUAUGAGUAUGAUGCUUCCAUAUACGUUUGGAUGUUUUCAGCUAAGUUCACUUCUGAACUGUGGGGCUCCUCCAAGUGUUGACUGAAAUCUGUCCUUGAGCAUCCCCACGCUCAUCUAAUCUACAGUCCAUAAUGGAGCCACUGUACUGGCUUUUGGAAGGAGGAGAUUCUGAAGAUAGGGAGGUUGGCUUGCUGCUCUCUUUGCAGCUGUUGCAGGGAUUCACAUGGAAUGGAGGACUCUGUUUUAUUCUGGAUGAGAUCUUUGAGCAUUUCUCCGCAUGCAUUUUCAGUUUCAAAAACCUAAUAUUCAGCAAUCAGUCUUUGAAAUUUCCUGUGGUCUGUUCAAUCUAGAUGCAAAGGACAUGGAAAAAUCAAGUGCUCAAGUGGUUUAAAUAUGUUUUGGAUAUUCUUAUUUAUAGAUUACAGGAUUUUUCCAAUUAAAAUCCGCAGUUGUCAUGCAGAAGGAGGUUAUGCCCUUCUUGAUCACCAGUUUAUUUGAAAUGCUUAGCAUUAUAGUGUGUUACUGAAUGCUGUUUUAAUCAAAGUAUAGAAAAAUAAAAACAAUUCUGUAUGUUGACUUUUUUUCUAAAAUGACUUUGUUGGACUGAAUGAAUGUUUAUACCUGAAAAAGAGGGUUCCUCCCUGAGAAAAAAAUCACUUUCUCCAUUAUAGCAAUUCUUCUGGCAAUCUGAUAUCAUUAGAAUAGGUUUAAAAUCACUUUCUAAUGUGACCCUAUUAUAUUUAUGGAAGAAGAAAGACUUAGAAGUUAUCCAUAUAUAUAAUUUUAAUUCUCUAUAGUAGUCCCUCUGGAAUGGAACAUUUUCUUUUUAAAAAAUCUAUUAGCUCAACUCAGGUAUGAGGGAAAAAUCAUCUCAACUGGCAGAGCAUUCGUUACGUCUUUGAGUAUUUGGUUUAUAUAAAGGUUGACAUCCAGUCUUCCACAGAGUUCUUACAUUUGGGCAGACUGAAUAAUGAGGGGUUGCCUUGGCAUUGGGAAAUUCCUUGUUGUGGCCUUUGUGGUGGCUGAAGGGAAACGGAAGGAUUCCUCCGUGGCAGGCAGGCGUCUGGCUUCUGUGGUAUGAACUCUGUCAAGGGGUAUGUGUGACCAGAGGUAGCCCUUAGUGAGGGGACUGGAGAGAUGCACAGAUGCUGCUGACACCCGAAGAAGUAGUGGCGAGUUACUGUUUUGGGCAUGACCCAGUUUGUACUUCAUCCACUUCUAUAGUUCUCACAAAAUGCUAUGAUAAAUUCUUAAGCUCAGAUCUCCGUACAGCAAAGUAAAAUUUUUAGGCUAGAAUAUUUUUUAUUUUUAAUUAAACUUUAUAUUUUGAGAUAAUUACAGAUUUCAUGUGCAGUUUUACUAAAUAAUGGAGAGGUCCUCUGUACCUUUAGUAAGUUUCCCCUCAGUAGGGAAAGUAUCACAACCUGGACAUUGGCCUCAUUACAGCCCAGAUACAGAACUUCCAUCCCCGGAAGGAUUCCUCACUCUGUCCUUUUACAGUCGUACAUGCUUCUCUCCUGCUCCUCUUCCUGUAGCAUCACUAGGCUGUUCUCCUUUCCUGUAAUGUUUUUUCUUUUCAAGGAUGUUCUAUAAAUGGAAUCAUAUAGUAUAUAACCUCUUGGGAUUGACUUUUCUCACUCAGCACAAUUUUCUGGAGCUUCAACUCACACGUAUCAGUAUUCUGUUCUUUUUAUGGUUGGGUAAUAUCCCGUGGUGUGGUUGCCCCACAGUUUGUUUAACUGUUGUACCAGUUGAGACUUCAGUGUUGUUUCUGGUUUUUCACUAUUAUGAAUAAAACUGCUGUAAACAUGCAUGUACAGAUUUUUAUGUGAACAUAAGUUUUCAUUUUCCUGGGAUAAAUGCCCAGGAGUGUGAUUGUGGGUCAUAUGAUAAUUACAUAGAGUCUUUUUAAGACUAGAAUUGAUUUUGUGUGUAUGGAAGGGGAGACAAAGAGAACAUCUACAUUUUUGUGGUAUUUUUGCUUUAACUGGAUUUGUCUACGAUUUCAAAACAUACAGACUAUUUUAAAUAACUUGUAGCUAGAUAUAAAAAAAACAUUUUUCCACAAACUAGAUUUUGUUCUUAUUUCUAGAGAAAUACUUUUGAGAAAAAACUGACCUUUUUUGGGGGGGGUAAGCAAUUUCUGUGUAAAGGAAUAAAGGUAGACAUACACUAUAGAAAGUGCUGCAAAGCUGGCAGGGUACUUGGGGAAAAUUUGCAAGUGUUAAUAGAGACUUGACAUUCAAGGCUAUAUUGUAAUAGUUUUUCAAUUUGUAGACUUUAACUUUUGUCACUACCAUGUAGCCUGCAGAUUUUAUUUGUAGAAUAAAUUCAUUAUCUUUAUCAUUUGUGUUCAGCUGUGUUGCAUUUCAUGUCCAUCUAAUUCAACUAUAUGCAUGUAGGAAGAAAAAGAAGGAAAUGAAAAACAAACAAUAUCUUUUCUAGUGCAGG
ensembl:lncRNA